rnacentral:miRNA from 14 species
CUGGGCUUAGAUUCACUUAGGC